GACGAACGCUGGCGGCGUGCUUAACACAUGCAAGUGGAGCGACGAACCGGGGCUUGCCCCGGGGCAGAGCCGCGAACGGGUGAGUAACACGUGGGUAACCCACCCCGAUGACCGGGACAACCCGAGGAAACUCGGGCUAAUACCGGAUGUGCUCCUUGACCUCGAGGUCAAGGCGUAAAGAUAGCUUCGGCCUUCGCAUCGGGACGGGCCCGCGGCCCGAUUAGCUUGUUGGUGGGGUAAAGGCCUACCAAGGCGACGAUGGGUAGCUGGUCUGAGAGGACGAUCAGCCACACUGGGACUGAGACACGGCCCAGACUCCUACGGGAGGCAGCAGUGGGGAAUCUUGCGCAAUGCGCGAAAGCGUGACGCAGCAACGCCGCGU
rnacentral:rRNA from 1 species